CGGACGGGUGAGUAACGCGUGGGUAACCUGCCUCAUACAGGGGGAUAGCAGCUGGAAACGGUUGGUAAUACCGCAUAAGCGCACAGUACCACAUGGUACAGUGUGAAAAACUCCGGUGGUAUGAGAUGGACCCGCGUCUGAUUAGCUAGUUGGCGGGGUAACGGCCCACCAAGGCGACGAUCAGUAGCCGACCUGAGAGGGUGACCGGCCACAUUGGGACUGAGACACGGCCCAG
rnacentral:rRNA from 1 species